UGAGCAAUCUGCCCUUCUCAUCGGAAUAAGCGUUGGAAACGACGUCUAAUGCCGAAUACGACCUCCUUUCGCAUGAUCGGAGGUGGAAAGCUCCGGCGGAGAAGGAUGAGCUCGCGGCCUAUCAGCUAGUUGGUGUGGGUAACGGCCCACCAAGGCGACGACGGGUAGCCGGCCUGAGAGGGUGACCGGCCGCACUGGGACUGAGACACGGCCCAGACUCCUACGGGAGGNAGCG
rnacentral:rRNA from 1 species